ACGCUUGAAGUCAGUCGCGUCGUUCGGGAAUCAGCCUUCCUUCUGGUUGGCGUACUUCCUGGUCGACGGGCCAGCAUCAGUUUUGACCGGUGGAAAAAGUUGUAGGGAAUGUGGCACCUCCGGGUGUGUUAUAGCCUUACUUCGUAUACAUCGGUUGGGACUGAGGAACUCAGCACGCCGCAAGGCCGGGAUUCGUCCACGUUCGUGCUUAGGAUGCUGGCAUAAUGGCUUUAAUCGACCCGUCUUGAAACACGGACCAAGGAGUC
rnacentral:rRNA from 1 species